rnacentral:tRNA from 1 species
GGAGUCGUGGCAGAGCGGUUUAUUGCACCGACCUGAAAAGUCGGAGAACGUGAGAAGCGUUUCGGGGGUUCAAAUCCCCCCGGCUCCGCCA